GACUCUUAAUAAUCUCACUUAAUUACAAAGAAAUGAAACAUUAACGCACACAUUUAUAAUAUAUAUGCUUGAGAUUUUUUUAUGUAUUCUUUUCUUUUUUUUGAUAAGCUAGGAAAACUUCAUUGAUAUAAAGCAUACACACAGAAACUUGGGAUUUUGUGGAAGAACUAAUCUUGAUGAUCAAGUCGAAAACGGUUGAAAAACCACGCUUAAUUUGAUUGUACGUUAUCAGGAAGAAAAAAAAAAUCGAGGUUUUCAUAUGGUUGUUGUGGGAUUAUGGAUUCAUCUUCAUUAGUUUGUGGUAAG
rnacentral:lncRNA from 1 species